rnacentral:rRNA from 1 species
CCUACGGGAGGCAGCAGUGGGGAAUAUUGGACAAUGGGCGAAAGCCUGAUCCAGCAAUGCCGCGUGAGUGAUGAAGGCCUUAGGGUUGUAAAGCUCUUUUACCAGGGAUGAUAAUGACAGUACCUGGAGAAUAAGCUCCGGCUAACUCCGUGCCAGCAGCCGCGGUAAUACGGAGGGAGCUAGCGUUGUUCGGAAUUACUGGGCGUAAAGCGUACGUAGGCGGUUAUUCAAGUCAGAGGUGAAAGCCUGGAGCUCAACUCCAGAACUGCCUUUGAAACUAGAUAGCUAGAAUCUUGGAGAGGUGAGUGGAAUUCCGAGUGUAGAGGUGAAAUUCGUAGAUAUUCGGAAGAACACCAGUGGCGAAGGCGACUCACUGGACAAGUAUUGACGCUGAGGUACGAAAGCGUGGGGAGCAAACAGGAUUAGAUACCCUGGUAGUCCACGCCGUAAACGAUGAUAACUAGCUGUUCGGGCUCUACGAGCUUGAGUGCGCNGCUACGACAUUAAGUUAGUCCGUCCGUGGGAGGUACGGUCGCGAGAAUUAAACUACUAAUUAGUUAAGUUAGUUACGGCGUGAGACGUUGCCGACGGACGACGACGAGGGAGGAGG